rnacentral:rRNA from 1 species
CGAGGAUUCCCUUAGUAACUGCGAGUGAAUGGGGAAAAGCCCAGCGCUGAAUCCUUCAGCCACUGGCUGCUAGGAAUUGUAGCGUAUAGGUGCGGCUGUCCGCUUGUUUCGCGCACCCAAAGUCCCCUUGAGCGGGGCUAUAGUCCAAAGAAGGUGCUAGACCUGUACGGGUGGCGAAGCGAACGGUUGGUUGCUCCUUGGAGUCGGGUUGCCUGGGAUCGCAGCCCAAAGUUGGUGGUAGAUCUCAUCUAAGGCUAAAUAUGGCCACGAAACCGAUAGCAAACAAGUACCGUGAGGGAAAGUUGCAAAGAACUUUGAAGAGAGAGUUCAAGAGGGCGUGAAACCGCUGAGAUUGAAACGGAUAGAGUUGACGGAACUCAGCUGCAUUCAUCCGAUCGGCCAAAUGGCCCGAUAGUGUUCGCAUCCUCGAUGAGGGCAACAUUCUCGGUAACUAUUCGGUAAUUGAUCGGUGUAUUUGCGGCUGGUAUGCGCUGAGAGCUUUGUGAUCGCGUGUUAACGGGUAUGCAGUGGACCAUUCCUUCCGGGCGUGGAACCCUUCAUACCUUUAGGCAUGUCGGUUAUAAAGUUUUGAACGUGGCGUCUCCGCUAUUGUGCGUCGGCUUAUGCGUGCUAUUGUGAUUAUCGAGUAUUCGCAUGCGAAUAUUUGUAAUUGGCGAUGGCGCGACAAAAGUGCGGACGCGUUGAGACGUACAUCUCGGUGUGAACGUUGACCACCUAUCCGA